rnacentral:rRNA from 1 species
GAGUCGAGUUGCUUGGGAAUGCAGCCCAAAGUGGGUGGAAAACGCCAUCU